GGGAAUUAGGGUUCGAUUCCGGAGAGGGAGCCUGAGAGAUAGCUACCACUUCUACGGAGGGCAGCAGGCGCGUAAAUUGCCCAAUGCCAAAUCGGCGAGGCAGCGAAGAAAAAUAGCGAUCCCGCCUCAUUGAGUGCGGGAGUUGCAAUGUGUGGUAUUUACAACCACCAACGAGUAACAAUUGGAGGACAAGUCUGGUGCCAGCACCCGCGGUAAUUCCAGCUCCAAUAGCGUAUAUUAAUGUUGCUGCUGUUAAAGCGCUCGUAGUUGGACUCGGGACGCGAGGAUUCGGGCGCACUCGCGCCAGCUCUUUCGCGUCCUGUCACAGACGGAGCCGUGUUCCGCCCGCGUGCCUUCGCUGGCCCGCGGGCACCCGCAAGGGACCGGGCACGACAUGCCCAUCGAACCGUCCGUCGUUCUCACCGUGAAUAAAACAGCGUGUUCAAGGCAGCCGUUCGGCCGCAUGACAAAGCAUGGAAUGACAGAGCAUCGACCAGCUGGUUGUGCUUUUGUUGGUUUUACUACCUAGUUGGGUAACUCGCGGUGCCGGCGCGGCCUCGGCCGCCCGGCGCCAGCACGGGAUUAACGGGGGUUGUCGGGGAAGGAAGUAUGCCGAAGUGAGAGGUGAAAUUCUGUGAUCUUCGGUGGACUAACAAAUGCGAAGGCGUCCUUCAAGUAUACCUUCAUCAAUCAAGAGCUCUAGCGUGGGGAACAAAAAUGAUUAGAUACCAUUGUAGUCCACCGCUGCAAACGAUGACGCCCAUGGAUCGGAUAGCAUCUUAUUCCGAUGGGAUCUUUUCGGCACUGCUCCCCUUCAACGCGAAAGCUGAGGCUUUGGUCUCAUGGGGAAGUACGUUCGCAAGGCUGAAACUUAAAGAAAUUGACGGAAUGGCACCACCAGACGUGGAGUGUGCGGUUUAAUUUGACUCAACACGGGAAACCUUACCAGGACAGGACAACGGAAUGAUUGACAGAUUGAUAGCUCUUUCUUGAUUCGUUUGACGGUGGUGCAUGGCCGCUUUUGGUCGGUGAAGUGAUUUGUUUGGUUGAUUCCUUUAACGGACGAGACCCAAUCCGCUUACUAGGUGCGCCAUCUCUGCGGCGCGCGCGGGCUCGCCCGUGCGCGUCGGAUAGCGACUCCUUCUUCGCGGCAUUCCAUGCGCCUUAGCAUGGUGGCAUUUUGGGCAACAGCAGGUCC
rnacentral:rRNA from 1 species